UCGUGCAAGGAAAUUGAAAAGACUGAUGCAAGUGAGACCAUUGAAAAACAUAUCAGCACAGAAAAAGGAACAGUUGAGAACCUACACCAAACUGUUGCUUACAGUGUCUCAAGUGAAAAAAAAGGUAAGGAUGUCCACCAAGAACAUGAGAUAAAGGAAGAAGAAAAUGAAGGAGAAAACAUGUUAGCAACUGAAAUACAAGAUGAAGCGGUAAGAAUACAAGUACAGAUCUUUAUUUAUAUUUAGUUUACAAACUCUUAAACUAUAAGUUUGACGCCUUUAUCCAAAAUACAGUUAUUCAAGGAAAUUGGAAAGACUGAUGCAAGUGAAACAAUUGAAAAAGAGAUCAGCACAGAAAAAGGAACAGUUGAGAACCUUCACGAAGCUGUUGCUGAAAACAAGACUAUCAAAGAACAUUUUCUUGAAGAAACAGGGAGUGAAAAUGCUGAGGAGGGUAGGAAAUCAGACAUUGCAAAUCAGGCUGAUGAGACAAGAUCUGAAGAAGUCAAAAUAGAAGCUACAAC
rnacentral:lncRNA from 1 species